GAGUUUGAUCCUGGCUCAGGAUGAACGCUGGCGGCGUGCUUAACACAUGCAAGUCGAACGAACCUUCGGGUUAGUGGCGGACGGGUGAGUAACGCGUGGGAAUCUGCCCUCAGGAGGGGGAUAACGGCCGGAGACGGCCGCUAAUACCCCAUAUGCCGAGAGGUGAAAUGAAUUUCGCCUGAGGAUGAGCCCGCGUCUGAUUAGCUAGUUGGUGAGGUAAGAGCUCACCAAGGCAUCGAUCAGUAGCUGGUCUGAGAGGAUGAUCAGCCACACUGGGACUGAGACACGGCCCAGACUCCUACGGGAAGCAGCAGUGGGGAAUUUUCCGCAAUGGGCGAAAGCCUGACGGAGCAACGCCGCGUGAGGGAUGAGGGCCUCUGGGCUGUAAACCUCUUUUAUCAAGGAAGAAGAUCUGACGGUACUUGAUGAAUAAGCCACGGCUAAUUCCGUGCCAGCAGCCGCGGUAAUACGGGAGUGGCAAGCGUUAUCCGGAAUUAUUGGGCGUAAAGCGUCCGCAGGCGGCCCAACAAGUCUGCUGUUAAAAAGUGGAGCUUAACUCCAUCAUGGCAGUGGAAACUGUUGGGCUAGAGUGUGGUAGGGGCAGAGGGAAUUCCCGGUGUAGCGGUGAAAUGCGUAGAUAUCGGGAAGAACACCAGUGGCGAAGGCGCUCUGCUGGGCCAUCACUGACGCUCAUGGACGAAAGCCAGGGGAGCGAAAGGGAUUAGAUACCCCUGUAGUCCUGGCCGUAAACGAUGAACACUAGGUGUCGGGGGAAUCGACCCCUCCGGUGUCGUAGCCAACGCGUUAAGUGUUCCGCCUGGGGAGUACGCACGCAAGUGUGAAACUCAAAGGAAUGACGG
rnacentral:rRNA from 1 species